UAGCGUAGGGGGCAAGCGUUGUCCGGAUUUAUUGGGCGUAAAGAGCGUGUAGGCGGCCAUGCAGGUCCGUUGUGAAAACUGGAGGCUUAACCUCCAGACGUCGAUGGAAACCGUAUGGCUAGAGUCCGGAAGAGGAGAGUGGAAUUCCUGGUGUAGCGGUGAAAUGCGCAGAUAUCAGGAAGAACACCCGUGGCGAAGGCGGCUCUCUGGGACGGUACUGACGCUGAGACGCGAAAGCGUGGGGAGCGAACAGG
rnacentral:rRNA from 1 species